AUGAAAUAAAUCAUACUUAUUUAUCUAAAGCUUUUCUGGAUAAGUUUUGACAAGUUUAGGCUUUCAAUGUCAUUUUUGUGUUAUUAGAUUCAAGUGGGUGUUAUGGACCAGAUGUGAAACAAGAAAAACUGAAGGAUUUCCAUCGACAGAGGUUGCAAGUUCUGGUCAAAGCCAAUCCGGAUUACACAUAUCAUUUCCAUCGGCCUUUGAGACCAUUCCUAAUAAACUUGAAGCCUAGAGUUCAUAUCUAAGCAGGAUAGCAGCAAAGUUGAGGGAAAUAAAGAAAAGUUAUAAUGCUACAAUUUCAGAUCCAGUUGAAGUUAGUUAAUUGAAAAAUUGUGCCCAGCAAAUGAUAAUGGGAGCAAGUGCACUAAGGAAGAGUGAUGUUGCAGCAUCUUAAUUUGUUGCCUCUGAUACAGCUUGAACUCCAGGAGGAAAAACCCUCACUAUAAUAAAUAUAACACGGCAUUUUAAUAAAAUCAGCGGACUUGACACUCGUACCUCUGCUGGAACACUAGAAGGAGUGAAGGAAAAGAGUUAAUUUGCAGGGAAAUAAAAACUCGUGAUUUGCCUGCAUUCUUUGGCCUCGAGAAACGCAGACAUUAAACUAAGCACAAAUGAAACCUACAACCACCGAAGGGCGAGUUUCUAGUAAAGAUCAUUCACGGCAUUCAUGGCGAAAGAUCAUGAAGAUGCAAGUUUGGAGACAGUUUUUUUUUAAAAAAAAAAUGCGAAAAACAACUAGCUAUAUGCAUGCAUCCUGACUUGCAAGAAUUUAUAAAAGCAGAAUGAAAAUGCAGAGAAGACCAGUUUUUAGCCACUGACAGGUUUGUGUGUCAGUAGACUUCAUGUUGCGCAAUGCACACUUCAAAAAUGUCCCGGUAUCCUACGAGAAAGCCUUAGGUUUCCCUUCAUGUUUUCUGUUUCUCUUCUCCUUUUUUAUUCAUACAUGAGGAACAAGAUGAACUGCAUUUCAUUAUUUGAAUGCAGGUUAAAGGGCCUAGGAACAUAAUAUACUGCUACUACAUGCAAACGUUUUCUUGGAAGAACAAAAAAAAUGAAGACUUGUGUGAUGAAAUUGCUUUUAAAAUACAUGGCUAAUUCAGCCUUUA